rnacentral:lncRNA from 1 species
AGGUGCAAGGGUGCGAUUGGAGUGUAGGGAGGGGGGGAACAUAAAAUCCAGCUAAGAGGCCGAAACCAACCAGCUUGGACUGUACGUGUUUAAGUUGGACAAAUCUAAGGAGCCUGUGGAUGAUUGUCAAGUGACACUGCUACACAGCCCUGACCCUGAAUGCAAGAUUUCCCACGAAGUCGACCCUAACAACAAAUCAAAAACUGCACCGGUGGCCACCCGGAAGCUCAACCUAUUGGAAGGAGACAGCGUCGAUGUCAUCGCACCAAGCCACCGCGUUGCCUACCCUUUUGGUUUGGUUGUUGAGAAAGCUCAUCCCGAGUGCGAGCAGUUCGCCAAAGCACGCAAGCAUUUUCAGAACUAAUUUAAGGAAUUGAAGACGAAAACCAUCUGAAAUUAAAUCAAUCUCCAAUUUCAGUGAAUUUUUCUUUUUGAUUGCAAAGAGAGAUGAAUUUUUCUUUCUGAUAUUCACAGUUAUGUUUCGUGAAUUCACAACUAGUAUAAACAAAGAAGUGUAAUUAGAAGUGGACUCAAGUAUUAUAUCCGUGAAGAUAUUGCCAUGUCGAUUAAUCUACUCUUUUUAUUUUUUACUUUAUUAAUUCUUAAUUAAGAUUCAAUUUAGGACCUAUUUAAAGAGAAGUAAAAUACGAUUUAAAAUCUAUCUUAUAACCUAAUAAUCUCCUAAUCAAAAUACUAAACUUUUAACAUGUCACCUAUCAAUUUAGCCCUUAAUUAUACUAAGCUUAAAUUCCAUGGUCCAUACUAGUUUGAUUUUUAUUUUUUAUUUUGGUGUGAAAAUUUGGUAUUUUCUUUAAAAUAAUGUGCUAGAUAGCGUGAAAGUAGCAAAUAAAUAAUGAUGUGUGCAAAUUGGAUUUGACACACAUCACAACCCAUAUCAUCAUUAAUGCCCUAAAAAUUGAAUCAUUCAGUGCCCGGUUAAUACGUUAAGUAGUUUAUGAAAUGAUUAAGAUCGAAGAGAAUCCAUGACUUGUAAUGGAUCACUUGUUCAUUUUCUUAAAAUAAUAAAAAAAUAAAGUCGCAAUACUGACUCCAUUCGUAAUUCCAUCAAUUACUCGUCUAUCAAAAAAAUGAGUUAGUUCAGCUAAUCUUCUUAUACCGUUAGUAAAGGAUAAUGUGAAAUUAGGAAAUAAAUAAUGAUUAACGGCCCCAGAACAUUGAAUUAUUGUGUGCCUAAGUCAGAAAUUCUUCAAGGGCACGUAGACAGGUCCCCAUCUAGUAUACUAUGAGGAAAAGGACAGCCCACAACAAGUUUAUGUCUAUAAAAUCCCAGAUGCUCAUUGAAUGUCUUGUGCCUAUGAAAGAUUAAAUAUAUUUUCAUAGAAUACGUAUCAAUUGUGCUUAUUUACUUUUUACCAUGGCUCUCACAAAUCAAGACCAGUACCUCUGCUUAGCUUUUCCUUUCAUUUUGGCCAUUUGCUCCUCUCAAGCAUCGUCUCGCCAAAUUUAUUAUGUGAAAAAACCAUGUUGGCGAGACAUGAAGACUGGAUGGCUCAAUUUGGGCCAGUUUUUUUUUAUAAGGAUGCUGAGGAGAAAGAGAGGCUAUUCGUGAUAUUCAAGGCCAACUUGGAGUUCAUUAAGGCUUUUAACAAACACAUGAGCCAGAACUACUUCACUCUAAGCUUAAAUGAAUUUGCAGACCUAACCAAUGAGGAGUUUCAGGAAAUUCGUAAUGGUUACACGAAACGAUCCUCCAAAUCGAUCAUGUCCAAUUCCACGAAAGCUACAUGUUUUAGAUAUUGAAAUGUCACUGAUGUGCCUCCUUCAGUGGAAUGGAGAGAAAAGGGUGCAGUGACGCCUAUCAAGGACCAAGGCAAAUGUUGUAAGUAUUAAACAAGUUGUUAAAUGAUGACGCAUUCACUGUUUCACAACAUAACAUGUUAUUGAAUGAUGAGGCAUGUUAUUUCAAUUUUAUAGGGUGUUGUUGGGCAUUCUCAGCAGUGGCAGCUACAAAAGGGGAUAACAAGCUCAAAACCAGAAACUUAAUCUCACUAUCAGAGCAAGAGCUUGUGGAUUAUGACACGACAGGUCAAGAUCAUGGCUGUGAAGGUGGUCUAAUGGAUGACGCUUUUCAAUUCAUCCAACGGAACAAAGGUUGACAACUGAAGCUAAUCACUCCUACCAGGGUUACAACACUCAGAAGGCUGCAUCCCAAACAGUGUCCAUAAACGGGUACGAGGAUGUGCCUAAAAACAACCAAAAUGCUAUGUUGCAAGCCGUCGCUAACCAACCAAUUUCUUUUGGAAUUCAGACUAUGAUCUGAAUUAUAACUUGCAUUCUACAAAUGCUACUAAAUGAGUAAAGGUUUCGGAGAGAUUUUCAGAAUGAGAGAGAGCUUGAGGAAAGAGCAAAAAGAUGAAUUCUAUUCUUCUUCUCACACACACACUGUGCACUAAUAACAGUUGGAACAGGAAAUUCGCAAAUUACAUCAUUCAAAUCUAGCCAUCCAUUCUUCUAUUCUAAGAUUACAUCUUAGCUGUCCACUUGGACUGUAAUCCAAGGGCUCACAUUUAAAUCUGUAAAUUUAAACUAAAUACAACAUCAUAUCAGCUAAAACAGUUAUAUUUCAACACUCCCUUCUAAGUGUUUAGCUGAGAUUACUCCAAGCUUUCUUCUCAGGUAUUCAAACCAAUCUCUUGCGAGAGCCUUAAUAAAGAUGUCUGCAGUUUACUCUUCAAUUUUGCAAUAUAGUAAAUCAAUCUCUCCAUUUUGCAAAGCAUCUCGAAUGAAGUGAAACCUCCUGUUUAUAUGCCUUGUCUUAUGAUGAUGCACAUGAUUCUUGGUUAUGGCAAUAGCAGAGGUAUUAUCACAUAGAAUUGUAGUAGCACCCACAUGUUCUUCACCAAUGUCUAAGAGAACGAAGCGCAACCAGAUUGCUUGUGCAGUAGCUUCUGCUGCACUAACAUACUCUGCUUCUACUGUAGACAGAGCUACACUACUUUGCUUGACUGAAGCCUAGGAAAACACACCUGAUCCAAGAUUAAAUGCAUAUCCAGAGGUGCUUCUCAUGUCAUCCUCGCUCCCUGACCAAUCACUGUCACAGUAGCCAAUGAGCCUUGCUUCUUUUCCUUUCUCAUAUGCUAUGGCAUAAUCAAAUGUGCCUUGAAUGUACCUCAGUACCCUUUUGGCAGUUCCCAUAUGUUUUCUAGUAGGCCCAUGCAUAAAUCUAGCGAAAAGACUUGCUGCAACCAUGAUGUCCGGCCUUGUUGCAAUCAAGUACAACAGACUUCCAACUAUCUGCCUAUAAACCACUUCAUCAACUUGUUCACUCCCAUCUUCCUUGGAUAGCUUCUCAUUCAUUGCAAGAGGAGUAGCCACUGCUUUACAGUCCUUGAAGCCAAAUUUGUCUAGCAAUAUCUUAGCAUAUUUCUUCUGGUGCAAGAAAAUGUAAGACUCAGUUUGUAUCACUCCUAACCCCAAGAAAUGGUGAAGCAAACCAAGAUCAGUCAUUUCAUAUUGCAUCAUCAUUUCGGUUUUGAACUCCAUCAUGAAGGCUUUUGAGCUUCCAGUGUAGAUAAUAUCAUCUACAUAUAAAGAAACAAUAAUAAUACUACUUUCUGCAGCCUUUACAUAUAGUGUUGCCUCACUAGGACUUCUCUGGAAACUUGCCUUGAUGAAGUAAGAAUUGAUUCUUCAUACCAAGCUCUUGGAGCUUGUUUAAGUCCAUAUAAUGCCUUCUUGAGCCUAUACACUCUGUCCUCUUUGUUCUUAAUCAUAAAACCAGGAGGUUGAUCCACAUACACCUCUUCACGCAACACUCCAUUCAAGAAUGCAGACUUCACAUCUAACUGAAACAGUUUCCACCCCUUUUGUGCAGGCAAUGCCACUAAUUUUCUAAUGGUAUCCAGCCUAGCAACAGGUGCAAAAGUUUCAUUGAAAUCUAUCCCUGGCUUUUGAGAAUAGCCCUUUGCCACUAGUCGAGCCUUGUCUUUUUGAACUGUACCAUCUAAAUUCAGCUUGGUUUUAUAAAUCCAUUUGACACCAAUUACUGGUUUAUCAGUUAGUCUAUCAACCAACUCCCAAGUUUUGUUCUUCUCUAUAAUUUCUACCUCAUUCUCCAUUGCUUUCUACCAUGCUUCAUCCUUAACAGCCUCUUCAAAGGUCUCAGGCUCGAUAAUACACAAGUUACAUCUUGCAUACACUUCUACAAUACUCUUGUAUUUCAGAGGUGUGUGAUCAACAUCCAGUGAUAUUGAGUCAGGAUCAACAUGCCCCUAUUCUGAAAUCUCUUCUUGACUCAGGCUAGAAUCAUUAGAUUCCUCUUCUCUCUCAGUGAGUGUCUCAUUAAGAGGUGUUGAGAUAUCACAUUCCUUUUGUGCAUUCCAAUCCCAAACAGAUGCCGCAUUGAAUAUCACAUCCCUGGAAAUAAUCAUUUUUUUUCAGAUGCAAUGUUAUAUAGUCUGUAGCCUUUUUCAUAGUUGCCAUACCCAAGAAAUAUACAUCUUGUGCAUAGCACAAAGAACCAAACACUCUUAAAUGCUUAACUCCUAGCUUUCUACCACUAUAAGCUUCAAAUGGAGUUUUCUUGUCUAAGGCCUUAGUUGGACAUCUAUUCUGAACAUACACUGUAGUGUUUACUGCCUCAGCCCAAAAUUCUAGAGGCAUCUUCUUCUCAAUCAUCAUGCAUUUAGCCAUCUCCAUAAUUGUUCUGUUCUUUUGUUCUGCUAUUCCGUUUUGCUAUGGUGAAUAUGCCACAGUUAGCUGCCUUUCCAUUCCCAUGUCUUCACAAAAUUUGUUGAAUUCAUUGGAAGUAUAUUCUCCCCCCUGUCACUUCUUAUUUUUUUCAAUUUAUAUCCACUUUGUAGCUCAACAGUGGCUUUAAAUUUUUUUAAAGACAUUAAGGACUUCUGAUUUGUAUCUCAAGAAAUAGAUCCAACACAUAUGAGUACAAUCGUCUAUGAAGGUAAGAAAAUACCUAUUUCCAGCUUUUGUAACAGUCUGCAUUGGUCCACAAACAUUUUUGUGUACCAACUCGAGUAGGAUUGUGGCUCUGCUUGUUGCUUCUUUUGGAAAGGAAUCUCUGCAAUGUUUUUCAAAAGUACACCCCUCAACAACUUCAGUGACAAGCUUAAUUUCUGGCAAUCCAAGUACCAUUCCCUGAUCUUACAGCAACUUCAAACUGGUGAAGUUUAAAUGCCCCAUUCUUCUAUGCCAAACUAAAGUUGAUGACUCUACAUUUGCUCUUAAUGCAACCUGUAAAGUUGUGUGAAGCUUCAAAGGAAAACUUCUGUUGCCUUUCAUUUGCACCUUAGCAACUAGAUUUGAUAAAGAACAAUCAUCAUAAAUUUCAACCUUAUUGGCUCCAAAAAUCAGAACAUAUCCAUGCUUCAUCAUUUUCCCUACACUGAGCAAAUUCUCCUUGAGACCAGUGACUAACAGUGCUCCUUUGACAUACCUUCUUCCCAUCUUAGUGUCAACAACAAGAUUUCCUUUUCCAACAACAUCAACCAAUUGUCCUGUCCCCAUUGCAACUUUUGCAGUUAUAUUCCUAUCAACAUCAACUAAUACAUCUUCCCCACCAGUCAUAUGGUUGCUGCAUCUGCUAUCCAAAUACCAUACUGUUCACCCGUUUUGUGUUUGUUCCUGUGAUGGUAGGGCAAAGUUCCCUAUUGCCUUGAAAACCAUUUACUGGUCAACAAGUCAACUUUCUUUACUGUGCGAGCGUGCCACUGCUAGCAAUGAGAAAUCCUAGAAGACUUUAAAAAUAGAUAACUUGCACCCCAAGUUACUGAUUUCUAACCAAACGGUUGUGAAUUUGGGUGAGGAAUAUCUCCCAAGUAAGUUCUUUUCUUGCCUCAGACUGGUAAGUACUUCAUAAUUUUUCAUAGUAUAAAACUGGUAGUUCUAGCCAGAAUAAAUGAUGAGAAAAUGAACUAUUUUUAGGUAGAAUUGCCUUUUACAAAACUCAAAAGGGAAAAGCCAACUCUAGAAAGACAAAAAGAAGGCUGGACUUCCAUUUCUGCCUGGAUAGAUGCUUCUGAUCCGGGCUGGACUGGGUAUGCCUGUGCUGGACUGGACUGUCAGCAACUUCAAUUUCAAGUUUCAGCUCUAAAUCGAUACAAACGUUUGAGUUUGGCAGAGCUUUAAUUUAUUUCAAGCCCUGGAAGGCUUUUUGAACGGACAUAAUUACGGCCUCUUUAGUCUGAAGGGGGCAGAAGUGGCUGGACUCAAGGAUUACUGAGUUGGAACUGCACUGUGAUACUUGUUUUGCUUGAUCAGGGCUCUCCAUAAAUUUGUUGAGGUUUUCAUAUUUGUGAAAACCUAGUCUCUGCUUGUUUUGGCUUUUGCUGAACCAAAUUUGUAACAAGAGAAAUCUCGUUUUAAAUUGCUUUUGGAUGCUUCAGUUUGUUUGAAGGUUCUUUGAGAUCAAGUGAUCAUUUUGAGUUUUUGUCUUUUGACUGAUUUUUUGGUUGUUUGAUUGAUUGUCUGAUCUUUUGCUCUGUUCACCCUCUCCUAUAUUUAUAAGAGAUGCUUUGGAGUGGUGCUUCUAAUUCUUUUAAUAAUGGGCGGCAAAAUUUCUCAAAAGAUCUUUCAUUUUUAAAUGCAAAGAAAAAGAGUUUUUAUCAAUUUUGGUAGAUAAGCUUUCUAUAGUCAGUUCCUAAGGCAGUUACUUCCCUGUAUUUCUUGAAAAAGAAACCUAACCCUUCUUCCAAUUUAACUGCUCUUUGUGAGAGUUCAAACUGUGAUGGUUUAGUUUUGAUCUUCCAGAUGAACAACUCCCUGCUUCCCACUUAUCUUUUUAGAAAAUAUGGCCUGCUUAUCCCGUGGAAAUGAUGUCUAACGAAUUUUUUUGGAUAUAGAAAAGGAUUCUGAUCUUUUAGCCCCAAAGUUUCAGGGAAGUCUCUCUGCUAAUGACCUGCUUUCAUUAAUUACCAAUCAACUCUCUUGUGAUAGUUGAAAUUGUUGACUUUUCAAAGUCAUGUAUUCACUUGGGCUCUGAGAAUAGACUUUCCAAAAAUCUGCUGAUCUUAUACUCCGUGUUUUGAGAUAAAUGGUGAGUAUUUAGAUGCUGGGCCCAAUCCAAUUCUUUUUUAUGUACUCUAGUGAUCAAUUGCCACUUAAUUUGGCAUUUUUUUUUACAACUUUGCCAUUUCGUAAAAGACGUGGGCCUUUCUUCUUUUUUAAUUAUGCCAAGCCCAGUUUGAGUUGAGCUAUGGGCUGAUUUCUUUCUUUUCUUCUUUUUCGAAGCCCAAGUUUAUUGUCGUGGUUUCGACAGAUCACUGGCUGGGCUUUUUUGAAUUUUGGGCCCUCGAUUCCUGUUUAUUUUGCAAAGCCCAGACUGCUUGGGCCCUUUGGCGUUAUUCUGGGCUCUUUAGUGUUGGGCUAGGUGCACAGGAUUUUGGCCCCAACACAUACAUCAUCACAUCCUUUUACACUAGCAGAACCUUUAUUACUAGCAUAAAACAUGGUUGGUGUGGAUUCGGUCUGAGUAGCAUAGUUGAGCUGUUGUGCUGGUUUCUUGCUAUAGCAAUCUUUUGCAAUAUGACCAAAUUUGUCACAGUUGUAACAUUUUGGUUUUCCCUUAAACCGAAAAUCACCAAAAUGUAGUUCGCCACAAUGUUUGCAGGGGUUUCUGGCUCCAUCAGUUGAUAUAUUAUCCCACUUUUUGCCUUUUGUCCUCCAAUUCCUUUGAUCCCUAAAACCACUUUGACUUCCACUGUAAUUUUUUGAUUGGGAUUCACACAAAGACUAGCAAAUGCUUUCUCAGUCUUAUCUCCAAAGUGCCUAUCUAGCCAUAAUUCAAAACUCUUCAAAGAGGUUACCACUUCUUGUACCUCAAUUUCAUCCAAAUCCUUAGAAUGCUCAAUAACAGAACAGAUUGAAUCAUAAGCUGAUGGCAAACUGAUUAGUAAUUUUUGUAACAAUCCUUGCUCUAGCUAAAUCCUCUCCAUAGCUCCUCAUUUGGUUUAUCAGAUCAAACAGUUUGGUAAGAUAAGCAGAAAGGGACUCAUCAUCUCUCAUUCUCGUAUAUUCAAAUUCUCUAAGUAGACCUUGCAAUUUAACACUUCUAACCUGUUUAUCACCAUGGAAUUCCUUCAUCAAGAUAUCCCAGGCUCCCUCAGAGGUUUCUUCAUGAGAGAAUCGAGGGAAGAUCUCAUCAGACACUGCUCCUUGAAUAAGACCCAGCGCUAUAGCAUCCUUCAUGAGUAGCUCGGUGAGAGUCAUCUUCCCAGCACCACUCGAUUCUUCCUUUUCUUUCUUCUUUGCAUCAGAUUCGUCAGCUCCCUUCGAAUUUGAGCACUCUAUUCCCUUCUCAACUAAUUCCCAAAGCCCAUGAGAUUUGAAAAUGGUUUUCAUUCCUAUGCUCCAGUUUUCAUAGUUAUCACCGCCAAAGAUCGGCACUCUCAGCUCACCACCUCCAUACCCUGCCAUGUUAGACACAGAUCGCGAAACCACUUUUCCAAAUUUCAGUUCGUUUUCUUCACAGAUUUAAUCGACCAAAGUUAACAAUCGAACCUGGCUCUAAGGCCAUGUUAGAAUUCAAACUAUGGUCUGAAUUAUAACUUGCAUUCUACAAAUGCUACUGAAUGAGUAAAGGUUUCAGAGAGAUUUUCAGAAUGAGAGAGAGCUUGAGGAAGGAGCAAAAAGAUGAAUUCUGUUCUUCUUCUCACGCACACAGUGUGCACUAAUAACCUGGAACAGAAAAUUCCCAAAUUACAUCAUCCAAAUCUAGCCAUCCAUUCUUCUAUUCUAAGAUUACAUCUUAGUUGUCCACUUGGAUUGUAAUCCAAGCGCUCACAUUUAAAUCUGUAAAUUUAAACUAAAUACAACAUCAUAUCAGCUAAAACACUUAUAUUUCAACAUUUCGGUUGCCAUUGACGCAAGUGGCUGUACAUUCCAGUUUUAUUCAAGUGGUGUGUUCACUGUGGUAUAAACUUAGAUCAUGGUGUUACCGCAGUUGGAUACGGGACUAGGACUAGUAGUGAUGGGACUAAAUACUGGCUGGUGAAGAAUUUUUAGGGCACAUGGUUGGGGGAGGAUGGAUAUGUGACGAUGCAAAGGGGCAUUCCUGCCAAGGAAGGACUCUGUGGCAUUGCUAUGGAAGCUUCUUAUCCAACCGCAUGAUUAAUUAAAAUGCAUAUAUGUCAUAAUAUAGUGUGGUGUAUAAAAUAUGUAUAAUUGAAUAAUAUAGAAAGACGCUAGCUAUGAGCUGCUAUCCUUCCACUUUGAAAUCCAUGCCUCAAAACAUAGAAACAAUUAACCCAUGACGUGGAUUUGCUCUUAAAAUCUCACUCAAUGAAUUAGCAGCUAUAGCUAUGAGGUUGACAUGUUUUCAUUACCAUUGCAAGGUUAAAUCAAGUUAGAUUAAGGGUGCAUAUUUUUGCUCACCAUCAUUCUUAAUAUUUGACAUGUGUCUAUGGGUAUAACCAUAUAGUUCUAUAAAUAUAUAACUAUGAUUAUGUCAAUGAACACGUGUCAAGUGUUAAAAUGGGUAGUGAGAGUACACAUUUGGUUAAAGUGGUGAGUAAAUAUAUUCCCUUAGAGUAAUCACAUGAUCAUGUCACUGAUCCUACAAGGUAAAACUGUGAAACGACGUCAUUACACUUGUUCGGAGGUGGCAUGGAUUGGAAACACGUAAUUAACCAUAUAUAUAACAUCAAUUUACAACUUAAUUAUACUUAUUCUUAAAGCCAUUUCUGAUCGGACAUUUUUGGAGAAAUUAAUUUCUCAGGCAAGUAAAUGGCAGCAGAAGAGGACCGGAAAAUUUAGGUGCCAGUAGAAGAGAAAAACUCUCUCGCACGUACCUGGUUUAUGGAAGUUUGCUGUAACAGGAGAGCUAGAUAAAACUUAAUUUGAAAAAUUCUAGGAUACGUAACUAGAGCUUACAAGGUGGUGUUGUUGACUGGCUACAACUUCAAAUACAAACCGUUGAGCUAGCUUGCUGUGCGCAGUAUAUAAAGAUUAUUUAGGACUAGCUAGGCUCAUAAUUAAUAUAUACAUAUAUAUAUAAUUACUUUAUAUUUUUAAAGAGGGGGAAGUACAAUAUUAUGAUGAAGAGAUGAGUCUUUUUGCCAAUUAAAAUGCACCAUUUAUAUAUUCUGUAUCCAGAUUACCUUUUGCAUGAUCUUGCCAUGAACAUCCAAAAAUGCACCAAUCUAGUUAAAAUUCAAAACAAAUUUAAAGAUUUUUACAUCGUAGUUAAAGGAAAUUCAUUGUUCCUAUAACUUGUGCUUCCUAUACACACACAAAUUCCAUGAAUCAAUUGACAAUGUGAUAUUAAUAUUACCAUAUAACAUUUUCAACAUUUUCAUCUCGUCCUAGCAUUCAAGUAAAGAAAAGAAUACACGUAUACUUGGAUUGUUGAUGUCUAACUUUGACUCAACGGAUUAAGAUCGUAAAAACGACACAUUCACAUCAUGACACACACUCAAGUCAGGCUACGUCCAUAAUAUACAAUUAGUGAACUGAAUUACAUGAAUCUACAAGUACGGGAUAUAAAAGCUACAAGCCCUACAUGCUACAAUAUCUGUCCUAUUUUUGGGUCAACUGUUCCUUAUUCUCUUUGAUAGUACAAUCGAGUUUACAUGUUAGGAUCCUAACGGGGAUAUUAAAUGCUGAAAAGGAAAUAAUCAAUUCCCAAUAAGCCCUUAAGAUCGUCUAACCAAGAUACAAGCCUCAUAUAUAUCUUAACAAAUCUUUCUAGUUCUUAAAGGUUAUAGCAUCCAUAUAUAUAUAUAUAUAUAUAUUUCUCUCUCUCUUUCUCUCUCUCUCUCUCUCUCUCUCUCUCUCUCUAUAUAUAUAUAUAUAUAUAUAUCCUCUCAUAUAAGUCCAAAUUAUCAUGAUAUUUACCCAUCGCAUUAUGAUAUUUGUCUUUAAAGAAUUAAUUAACAUACAUAUCACCGCGCAGAAAAUUGAUUUAUGUCUUCAAGACGUCUAUAGAGCAUUAUUAAACUAACCCUAAAAUAAAUAUAUUUUUAUUCUUAGUGUAAUGUGGAAAUAUCUAUAGAAUAUUUCACCAAUAUAGAAGAGCGGCUAUACUCAACAAAUAGAAUUUUCAAUAGUCUAGCCGAGUGGCUGUACUUUAUAAAUAGAAAUUUUUUAACAGUACAACCGCAUGCCUAUAAUCUUUAAAUAGAAAUUUCAAAAUUAUAGCCGCCCGGCGAUACUAGUUAAAUAGAAUUUUUCCAACAGUAUAGUCGCACGGAUAUACAAAAUUGCUUUUCUCAUUCAACGAAGUAGUUUUUCAUUUUUAUUUUUUCUAUAACGAGGCGGAUCAGGGAACCAGUUCCUCAAUGAAGGCUGGUAUGGGCCAAUGGCGGAUUGAAGACCGACAUAUUCUGAAUAUGGGCACCAAUAUACCGGUCGACUAGUUCUCCUAGCCAGUGGCAGUGGUUGCGGUUGAUUUCCCCCAUGAUCACCUAUUGUACAACCUUUGCCUUUUCUGUGUCUUGGUGUUUCACCAUUUUGGCCAACCAUAGUCUCCAGUUCCUCGGCCAUACUUAAUUCCAGUCACCUUAAAUGUAACCCAAAAUACUUGGUCGAACUCAUUCAUUUUGGCCCGCUUUAGGUGGCGUUUGGCAGUGCUUAAUUUUUUUUUAAAGCAACUUUAAUAAAAAUUUGGCAUGAGUUGGGUGUUUGGUAAACCCAAAAAAACACGCUUAUUUUAAAAACACCCAUCAUAAAAAGCAAGUCAGGUAUAUGGAGCUUUCAAAAGUUGCUUAAAAAAAGAGCCGGUUUUCUUGUUAAUGAAAGUUUCAUUAUCCCUAUAAUACCCCUCAGUAUUUCACAAAAUGACAACAUUUGACCCUAUCACAAAAUAGAUCUCGCGACCUUCACACUCUCUGACCUUUACUCUCAGACUGCUCUUCUCACUAUUCUUCUUCUUCCUCCCCCUGCAUCUCAAAACUCCAUCUCAAUCAAGGACGUUAAUUGCCAACAACAAUCAGCUACUUAUCAGUGAGUUCAUCUUCCCAUUACAUUUAUGAUUUUUGGGUUUAUAUAUGUUAUGAAAUUAGGUUUUUCAUUUGGUUCUAUGCAAUUGGGGGCUUUGUGUUCUUGAGGCUUUAAGGGGAAAAUACGGGAGAGACAGAGAGAGAGUUUUGCUGCAAGUUUUGUACUGGGUUUGUCUCUCCUUGCUCUUUGGCAAGGAGAGAUUUCUCCCUUGCUUGGUUCAAUUGGCCUUUGGGUCAGAUACUUCUCUCUCUGCUUCUGUUUCUCUGAAACAUGUCUGUCCUUGAUGCUUUGUUUCUCUAGAUUACACAACCAUCAUUGUUCAUAGAUUUACUCAUUGUAUAGUUUGGUACAGUUCCAAAAUAUCAAGAACAAAACCCGCUAGGCAAAUCUGGUUCUUUAUAGACAUAAAUCUAUAUAUAUAUAUAUAUAUAUGAUUGCAACCCAAGUCCCCAUGUAAUGACCCAAACCUAAAAUUCAUUUAUAAUUAGUAAUUUAUUAUGAGGAAAGACAAUUUUGUUCUUGGAAUAAAUUAUGAACGCAAAGUUGACUUUUUGACCGAAAAGGAAUUUGACAAUUUCACUUACACCGUUGCAUAGAGCACGACAAAAUGAGUUCGUAGACACGAAGUGGGCUCGAAUUGGAACUUUAACGAAGAAAAUACUAUUAAAAUAUCACGAAGGGCAAAACGGUAAUUAGAAAAAAUCAGAUUUUUUUAUAUAACCUCAGUUUCUCUCUCUCUCUCUCUCUCUCUCUCUCUCUCUCUCUCUCUCUCUCUCUCUCUCUCUCUCUCUCUCUCUCUCUCCCUCCCUCCCGUCGCAAACCCCCCCCAACAGUUGGUUUUGUUCGAUCACCGUCGCCGCCACAGAGCACCGCCGGCGACGAGACCGGUCCCGUUUGAACCGUCGCCACCUCCUCUUCCCUUUCCGACCACUCUCCGCCCGUGGAACUGCCGAUGCUGGCCGAAAACUGAAGAAAACCGAUCAGUUUUGACAGAAAUUUCAACCCAUUCUUUCUCCUUCAAUUCUCCUCCAAAUUUGUCGAGUAAGGUAUGGAUUUCUACCUAUUUUCCAUGCUCUAGCUGAUGGUUGGGUAGGUUUGCAUCGAUUUUGACCGUAGCUAGCUCAGUUUGUAAUUUGGAAUUCGGUCGAUUUUCGGCCUCCGUGUUUGGCCACUUCCGGUCAGUUUUUGGGGUUGGUCCAAGAACAAAAGUGGUUCCAAAAAUGGUGUUAUACGUAGGAUAGGAGUUUGGAACCUUGGUUUUGAGAUUUUCCGGCGAUGCGUAAUCGCUUUGGACACCCAUCGCUGCCGGCGCGUGCGGCGGUGCGUGAGAAAGUGUAGUGCAGUGGUACAGUGUUCUGAUGUGAUCCUUAGGUUGUCACGAGCGCAUAGGAAUUCACGGAUCUCAAUUUGGAUACCGUUUGAGCGUCGAACGGAUUUUCCAUAUUGUGCGAUUAUCGGGUUCAAUACUGUUGACCGUUGGAUCGUAACCAGGUUCAGAUAUGUUAUUCUAGAUAAUUUUAGAAACGUGUAGGAUUCGACGGAUAGUGAAUCAGAGUCCCGGAUACUUCGAAAACGCGAACCCUAGGGCUAGGGUUUAAAAAUUAUGCGAUUACACGAUCGUGAUUAAUCCAACCGUCCGAUUGACAUCAAUACCCUCGGGACAUGUGUCCUAAAUAUAUUGGACCUUCGAGCGGCUUCCGGAUCAUAUUGUGAGGUCAUGGACCCGUGGGGUUCCGGAUUGAUUUUUUGGGCUUUAGCGCUUUUUGAGUCCCAAGAUACCGCUAAACUAUCCCACGUGGAAGGAAAGCUUUUAUGGGCAUAGGGAUAACUUUAAAUUGACGCACGUAUCUUUAGGAGUUGGGGGUAGGGUUUUUAAUUUAAUACUAUAUUGUAUUAAUAGAAUAUUAUGGUCAUUGAAUCAGGCACCCGGGCACCAGUUGACCCGCAGGAGGGACCUUCAAGAGGUCCAGCGAGCUCGGACUAUCAGUGAGUGGACUCUUUGUUUUAAUAAAUGAAUUUAAGCAGUUCAGUUUCAGUUAUAAGCUGUUUAUUCUGUUAAAUAUUUUAUGUUGCAUGCUGUCGAGUGAAAUCUCCUUUAAAGAAUAUAGAAAAAGAUAUUAUCGUUAAUUAUCAGAUAAAUGGCAGCAGAAUUUUAAAAGUUACAGAAAGUUAAUUAUUCAACAGUUUUGUUUCAAAAACUUUAUAUUUUCUUCAACCACCUUGUACCCAGAUAUUAAGUGUUGCCUUCGGAUUAUAUUUGUUGCCUUCGGUUUAGUCGGCAUGCUUGACAGUUGCCCCACGAGUUCCUUGGUACUCGAACUCGUGUGGAGCGAGUAAUGCGGAUCAGGUGAACUACGGUCCCCUGAAUCCUGCGAGUUGCGGCUUGGAUUGACUUCGUGUGAUUGAGACCUGCGAGUAUGUGUCACCCAUGGUGAUGCAAGGAAUUGACAGAAAUAAGGGUACACCUAGGUGAUAGUUUUAAACUGUUUUCAAAUGUAUAUAAUUAUAUACAUUCAUUGAUUUCAUAAAUAAAGAAAAUAAGCUAGUUUAUAUAACUAUGUUUACAGUGGGGUUAGUAUGUUCUUAUACUAUUUUCGAAACUUUGUUUUUGGGUCCACUCACCUUUAUUGUUGUUUUGCGCCCCUAGGGAGUAGACGUGUACAGGAAUCCACUACCGGGCCACUUCCCAUCUUCUGCGCCUUUCUUUGAUGUAGGAUUUUUGUUUUGUAAAAAGAUUCACUCCUUUCUAAAUUCUUAGUAGUCGCUCUGAUAUUUUGCCCUAGACUAUGAAUUGAACUGUUGGAAUGUAUAUAUACGUAUGCUGGCAGUUGGGUGUAUAUAUGUAUACUUGUUUGGCAGGUGAAAAUACUUUGUAUUGAGCCAGUUACAAGGGAAACUCUGCCGGUUUUUCGGUAGAUGUUAACUUUAUUAUUUUAUCGGGUUUUGUAUAGAAGGGCAAAUAGGUCAUUCGACAUUUGCCAGGUGUCGGAUACGCACAGGGUCUGGUUCAGAUUCCAAAGCGGAAUUUAGAUCGAGUCCUGUCAACUUGGUAUCAGAGCGUUAGGUUUAAUUUCCUGUAGACUUUGCACCUUGUGCAUCCUCGUUUUCCUGAAAAUCUGUUUCUUGUGACAGUAAGAUGGGCCCUAAACUUGGUGGUGUCCGUAGAGGGACUAGACAGUCGUCCCGACAAAGGGGACAGGAUCCCCUGCUCGGGCAUGAGGAAGUUCAUGUUCCUGUACCGGUACCUGAACUGGUAGAGCCGUCUGUAGUUGGAGGCCCGUCAGGAGCCGUACUUGCUAUGCAGGGAGAUCCCAACUUCCAGCAGACUUUGGAGUUGCUGACUCAGGCUUUAGCCAGGACUGGGCAGCCCAGAGAUCUCUCCCUGGGAUAUGCUGAUCAAGCAAAGAGGAUUGGGGCCACUGAUUUUGAUGGUGAUGGUACCCCAGCAGUAGCUGAGGAAUGGAUUGAACAGAUGGAGCGGAUUAUGGAGGUCAUGGCUGUUCCACAGAACAGUAGGGUUACUCUGGCCACCUUCUUCUUGAUCAGAAAUGCCAGACAUUGGUAGGAUUCAGUCAAGAGGAGAUAUAGGGAUCCUUUAGCCAUUACGUGGCAAGUUUUCAGAGCUGCCUUUGACAGUAGUAUUACCCACAAGCAUACCAGAAUGUGAAGAUGCAAGAGUUUUUACAGCUGGAACAGGGGAUGAUGACUGUAUUAGAGUACGAGAAGAAGUUUCAUGAUCUGUCUAAGUAUUGUCUCCCACUGGUGGAGGAUGAAAGUAAGAAGUGUUAACUAUUCACUAUGGGGUUAAAGGCCUCCAUCUGAGAUAUUGUGAUCAGUCAGCGGUUGACCCUUCAUCCUAGAUAUUGUGAUCAGUCAGCGGUUGACCAAUUUUAGUGAUGUGGUGAUGUCUGCCUUGCUAAUUGAAAGUAGCCAGAUGAUAGCCAGACCACGGGGUGAACUCCGUAGGCAGCAGUUUGAAAUAGGAGGUCCUAGUCAGGGAUCAUCUAAGAGAGGCAGUUACAGUUCGGGAUCAUCUAGUGGUUGCAGCUAUGGAGGUUACCGACCUGGAUUCAGCUCCAGCGGAGGUUCCAACCAAAGUAGCAGUUCUGGAAACCGCUCUGGGGGUAGUGCAGGUAAAGGUGCUGGAAGACAGUUGCUGUCAGGAUCUGGCGGGUGGAGUCACUCCCAAUAUGCCAGAUGUGGUAGGUACCAUUCUGGGCCUUGCCAGCAGGGCACUACUGGAUGUUAUUACUGUGGACAACUUGGACAUUUUCAGAAGGAUUGCCCACUGUUCCUUCAGACUAGAGAGACCACAGAUGCGUCAACUCCAGGGACAGUUAUGCAGGGUAGAGCACAGGAGAGACCACCGUUUGUAGAGGCUUCGUCUAGUGGGGGUGCCCAGACCAAUGUUGCCAGUUGAGGCAGUAGUCAGCAGAGGGGACGUGGUGGACGUUCCAGAGCCACAGGCAGGGUGUAUAACAUGUCCCAGCAAGAAGCACAUGCAUCAUCUGACCUAAUUACAGGUAUUUUACCGGUCUUUGGCAUUCCUGCUAGAGUUUUGAUUGACCCUAGGGCUACGCACUCGUUUGUCACACCUAGUUUUGCUCAUAAUGCCAAUGUUAGACUUUCGGCUCUGCAGACUGAACUGGCGAUCUCAGUACCUACAAGAGAGAUUUUUAGGGUAGGUACAAUGUAUCGCGAUAGUACAGUGAUGGUGGGAAAUGUAUUUUUAGAGGUAGAUUUAAUUCCCUUGGGCAUGGUUGACUUGGAUGUCAUCUUAGGGAUGGAUUGGUUAGCCAGACGUCGUGCCUCAGUAGAUUGCUUCAGGAAAGAAGUUGUAUUCCUAGUCCCGGACAACCUGAAGUAACUUUUUAUGGCGAACGUAGAGUGCUUCCAUCUUGCCUCAUUUCAGCUAUGACGGCAAAACGAUUGCUGAGAAUAGGGUGCUCAGGAUAUAUAGCACAUGUCAUUGAUACCAGAGAUAAUAGGCUGUGAUUGGAAGAUAUUCCAGUCGUACAGGAAUUUCCAGAUGUCUUUCCUGAGGAUCUUCCUGGAUUACCUCCUCAUCGGGAGAUCGAGUUCAUUAUUGAGCUUGCUCUAGGAACAAAUCCUAUUUCUCAAGCACCAUACAGAAUGGCACCAGCAGAGUUGAGGGAAUUAAAAAUGCAGUUACAGGAGCUGAUAGAUAAGGGUUUCAUUGUACCCAGUUUUUCUCCUUGGGGUGCUCCAGUAUUGUUUGUUAAGAAAAAGGAUGGCACCAUGAGGUUAUGCGUUGACUACAGACAGCUGAACAAGAUCAAAGUGCAGAAUAGAUAUCCAUUGCCCCGCAUUGAUGAUUUGUUUGAUUAGCUAAAGAGUGCCAAGGUAUUUUCCAAAAUUGACCCGAGGUCUGGAUAUCAUCAGUUACGGGUUAGAGAAGAGGAUGUGCCUAAAACCGCAUUUUGAACGAGGUAUGGGCACUAUGAGUUCCUAGUUGCCAAUUGACGAAUGCACCAGCUGCAUUUAUGGGCCUCAUGAACAGAGUGUUUCGACGUUACUUAGAUCGCUUCGUGAUUGUGUUCAUAGAUGACAUUCUGGUGUAUUCUAAGAGUCAGAAGGCACAUAUGAAGCAUUUAAACAUCGUGUUGAGGACCCUGAGAAGGAGGCACCUUUAUGCCAAAUUCAACAAGUGUCAAUUUUGGUUGGAUAGAGUGAGUUUCUUGGGACACGUGAUCUCUGCUGAGGGCAUUUUGUUGAUCCUCAAAAGAUUGAAGCAGUAGUAAAUUGGCUACGACCAACUAGUGUUACUGAGAUACGAAGUUUUCUGGGGUUAGCCGAGUAUUACCGUCGCUUCGUGGAAGGGUUCUCUACCAUAGCGGCACCUCUCACCUAUUUGACAAGAAAAGGAGUUAAAUUUGUGUGGUCAGAUAAGUGUGAGGAAAGUUUCAUCGAACUCAAGACCAGGCUAACCACUGCUCCGGUUUUAGCACUUCCGAAUGAUAGUGGAAACUUCGUAAUCUACAGUGAUGCGUCUCAACAAGGACUUGAGUGUGUGCUGAUGCAUCAUGGUAGGGUGAUCGCUUAUGCUUCUAGACAACUGAAGAAGCAUGAGCUGAAUUAUCCUGUUCAUGAUUUGAAACUUGCUGCAGUAGUUUUUGCCUUAAAGAUUUGGCGGCAUUACCUUUAUGGGGAAACAUGCCAGAUCUUUACAGACCACAAAAGUUUAAAGUAUUUAUUCACCCAGAAGGAAUUAAAUUUGAGGCAAAGAAGAUGGUUAGAGCUGAUAAAAGAUUAAGACUGUACCAUCGAGCAUCACCCAGAAAAAGCUAAUGUUGUGGCAGAUGCACUCAGUAGGAAAUCUUCAGGAUCUGUAGCUUAUCUUCGAGGAAGAUAUUUGCCAUUAAUGGUAGAAAUGAGGAAGCUCAGAGUUGGGCUAGAUGUGGAUAAUCGAGGAGCACUGUUAGCUACCCUCCAUGUGAGACCAGUGCUAGUAGAACGAAUACUCGCAGCUCAAUCUCAGGAUCCUUUAAUUUGUACGUUGCGAGUGGAGGUUGCAAAUGGCGACAGAACUGAUUGUUCUGUAAGAAAUGAUGGAGCAUUAAUGGUAGGUAACAGGUUAUAUGUCCCUGAUGAUGAAAGUCUAAAAAGGGAGAUUCUUGAGGAAGCCCAUGAAUCAGCGUUUGCAAUGCACCCUGGAAGCACAAAAAAUGUAUCAUACUCUGAGAGAGCACUAUUGGUGGCCUUUUAUGACGAAAGAAAUAGCAGAGUAUGUCAGAAGGUGCUUAAUUUGUCAGCAAGUGAAAGCUGAGCGACAGAAACCAUCAGGGCUAUUGCAACCACUUCCAAUUCCUGAGUGGAAGUGGGAGCGGAUUACGAUGGAUUUUGUGUUCAAGCUUCCCCGAACACAGAGUAAGCAUGAUGGAGUAUGGGUAAUUGUGGAUCGACUCACCAAGUCCGCUCAUUUUCUGCCGGUGAGAGCAAAUUAUAGUUUGAACAAACUGGCUAAGAUUUUCAUAGAUGAGAUCGUGAGACUUCAUGGAGUACCACUAUCCAUUGUUUCAGAUCGAGACCCACGGUUUACAUCCCGUUUUUAGACAAAGUUAAAUGAAGCUUUUGGAACCCAAUUGCAGUUUAGUACUACAUUUCACUCCCAGACAGAUGGUCAAUCUGAGAGGAAAAUUUAGACACUAGAAGAUAUGUUGAGAGCCUGUGCACUUCAAUUUCAGGGUGAUUGGGAUGAGAAGUUACCACAUAUGGAGUUUGCAUAUAAUAACAGUUAUCCAGUGAGUAUCGGAAUGUCUCCAUUUGAUGCCUUGUAUGGGAGACAAUGUAGAACUCCAUUCUAUUGGGAUAAAGUGGGUGAACACAGAUUGGUCGUAUCUGAGGAUGUUGAAUUGACCAAGAAACAAGUGCAAAUCAUUAGAGAACGACUCAAAACAGCCCAAGACCGACAAAAGAGCUAUGCGGACAAUAGAAGAAAAGAUCUUUAGUUUGAAGUUGGAGACUGGGUAUUUUUGAAAUUAUCACCUUGGAAAGGUGUAGUGCGAUUUGGGAAGCGGGGGAAACUAAGUCCUUGCUAUAUCAGACCCUAUGAGAUUAUAGAGCGUGUGGGUCCAGUAGCUUACAGGCUUGUUUUGCCUUCAGAUCUAGCUUGAUUGCAUGAUGUUUUCCACGUCUUCAUACUCCGAAAGUAUAUUUCGAACCCUUCCCAUGUGUUAGAGGAGCAACCAGUGGAGUUGAAGGCUGAUUUCACUUAUGUGGAGCAACCAGUUCAGAUUUUGGAUUGGAAGACGCAAGUGUUACGAUCGAGAGAGAUUCCACUUGUGAAGGUUUUAUGGAGAAGUCAUACUGUAAAAGAGGCUACAUGGGAACCCGAAGACCAAAUGCGGGGAGCAGUACCUUCACCUCUUCGAGUGUCAGGUGCGUAAAUUUCGAGGACGAAAUUUGUAUAAGAGGAGGUAGGUUGUAAUGACCCAAACCUAAAAUUCAUUUAUAAUUAGUAAUUUAUUAUGAGGAAAGACAAUUUUGCCCUUGGAAUAAAUUAUGAAUGUAAAGUUGACUUUUUGACCGAAAAGGAAUUUGACAAUUUUACUAACACCGUUGCGUAGAGCAUGGCAAAAUGAGUUCGUUGACACGAAGUGGGCUCGAAUUGGAGCUUUAACGAAGAAAAUACGAUUAAAAUAUCACGUAGGGCAAAACGGUAAUUAGGAAAAAUCAGAUUUUUUUUUAUAUAACCUCAGUUUCUCUCUCUCUCUCUCUCUCUCUCUUUUUCUCUCUCCCUCCCGUCGCAAACCCCCCCCCCCCCCCCCGACAGUUGGUUUUGUUCGAUCACCGUUGCCGCCACAGAGCACCGCCGGCGACGAGACCGGUCUCGUUUGAACCGUCGCCACCUCCUCUUCCCUUUUCAACCACUCUCCGCCCGUGGAACCGCCGGCCCUGGCCGGAAAUUGAAGAAAACCGAUCGAUUUUGACAGAAAUUUCAACCCGUUCGUUCUCCUUCAAUUCUCCUCCAAAUUUAUCGAGUAAGGUAUGGAUUUCUACCUAUUUUCCAUGCUCUAGCUGAUGGUUGGGUAGGUUUGCAUCGAUUUUGACCGUAGCUAGCUCAGUUUGUAAUUUGGAAUUCGGUCGGUUUUCAGCCUCCGUGUUCGGCCACUUCCGGUCAGUUUUUGGGGUUGGUCCAAGAACAAAAGUGGUUCCAAAUAUGGUGUUAUACCUAGGAUAGGAGUUUGGAACCUUGGUUUUGAGAUUUUCCGGCGAUGCGUAAUCGCUUUGGACACCCAUCGCUGCCGGCGCGUGCGGCGGUGCGUGGACGAGUGUAGUGCAGUGGCACAGUGUUCUGAUGCGAUCCUUAGGUUGUCACGAGCGCAUAUGAAUUCGCGGAUCUCUAUUUGGAUACCGUUUGAGCCUCGAACGGAUUUUCCAUAUCGUACGAUUAUCGGGUUCAAUACUGUUGAGCCGUUGGAUUGUAACCAGGUUCAGAUAUGUUACUCUAGAUAAUUUUAGAAACGUGUAGGAUUCGACGGAUCGUGAAUCGGAGUCCCGGAUACUCUGAAAACACGAACCCUAGGGCUAGGGUUUAAAAAUUAUGCGAUUACAAGAUCGUGAUUAAUCCGACCGUCCGAUUGACACCAAUACCCUCGGGAAUGUGUCCUAAAUAUAUUGGACCUUCUGGCGGCUUCCGAAUCAUAUUGUGAGGUCAUGGACCCAUGGGGUUCCGGAUUGACUUUUUGGACUUUAGCGCUUUUUGAGUCCCAAGAUACCGCUAAACUAUUCCACGUGGAAGGAAAGCUUUUAUGGGCAUAGGGAUAACUUUAAAUUGACGCACGUACCUUUAGGAGCCGGCGGUAGUGUUUUUAAUUUAAUACUAUAUUGUAUUAAUAGAAUAUUAUGCUCAUUGAAUCAGGCACCUGGGCACCAGUUGACCCGCAGGAGGGACCUUCAAGAGGUCCAGCGAGCUCGGACUAUCAGUGAGUGGACUCCUUGUUUUAAUAAAUGAAUUUAAGUAGUUCAGUUUCAGUUAUAAGCUGUUUAUUCUGUUAAAUAUUUUAUGUUGCAUGCUGCCGAGUGAAAUCUCCUUUAAAGAAUAUAGAAAAAGAUAUUCUCGUUAAUUAUCAGAUAAAUGGCAGCAGAAUUUUAAAAGUUACAGAAAGUUAAUUAUUCAACAGUUUUGCUUCAAAAACUUUAUAUUUUCUUCAACCACCUUGUACCUAGAUAUUAAAUGUUGCCUUCGGAUUAUAUUUGUUGCCUUCGGUUUAGUCAGCAUGCUUGGUGGUUGCCCCACGAGGUCCUUGGUACUCGAACUCGUGUGGAGCGAGUAAUGCGGAUCAGGUGAACUACGGUCCCCUGAAUCCUGCGAGUUGCAGCUCGGAUUGACUUCGUGUCACUGAGAUCUGUGAGUAUGUGUCACCCAUGGUGAUGCAAGGAAUUGACAGAUAUAAGGAAUUGAAGGAAAUAAGGGUACACCUAGGUGAUAGUUUUAAACUGUUUUCAAAUGUAUAUAAUUAUAUACAUGCAUUGAUUUCAGAAAUAAAGAAAAUAAGCUAGUUUAUAUAACUGUUUUUACAGUGGGGUUACUAUGUUCUUAUACUAUUUUCUAAACUUUGUUUUUGGGUCCACUCACCUUUAUUGUUGUUUUGCGGCCCCAGGCAGUAGACGUGCACAGGAAUUCACCACCGGGCCACUUCCCACCUUCCGCGCCUUUCUUUGAUGUAGGAUUUUUGUUUUGUAAAAAGAUUCACUCCUUUGUAAAUUCUUAGUAGUCGCUCUGAUAUUUUGCCAUAGACUGUGAAUUGAACUGUUAGAAUGUAUAUAUACAUAUGCUGGCAGUUGGGUGUAUAUAUGUAUACUUGUUUGGCAGGUGAAAAUAUUUUGGUAUUGAGCCAGUUAAAAGGGAAACUCUGCCGGUUUUUCGGUAGAUGUUAACCUUAUUAUUUUAUCAGAUUUUGUAUAGAAGGGCAAAUAGGUCAUUUGUGCCCGACAUUUGCCAGGUGUCGGACAUGCACAGGGUCUGGUUCGGAUUCCAAAGCGGAAUUUGGAUCUGGUCCUGUCACCCCAAGUCAGGUCCGUGUUGAUUUUUUCAUUGUCCUAACCUUGUUGUCUUCAAGCUCAAACAUAAUUCCUUUGGACUUUAGUUUUAGUUCUCUUUUAGUUAGAAGACAAGAAAAGAGUGAAGAAGCCAUUAGCUCCAGAUCUGGGGGCUUCUCUUUUCUCAAGAAUGAAAAAAAAAAGAAAAAAAGAUCCUAUUCUGUGAAACUGCUGUUCCAUCUAAGUUGUCGUCCAUUAUUGUGUUAGAAGAUUUUUGGUGAACAAAGCUUUUAUUUUUUAGUGGUCAUAGUUUCAAGUUCUUCCUUAUUAUUAUUUUUUUAGUGUCGGUGGACUUUAUUAUUGUGUUAGAAGAUUUUUGAUUGGGUAAUGGUUUGAAGUUCUUCCUUCUAUUUAUAUUUUUUUUGUGUUUGUGGGCUUUAUCAAAAGUGAUUGUAGCAUGCUGGUCACUGUGGUGGGGAACUCAAAAACUGACAUAUGGUUGAAAUAUAAAAUUUUUGUAAAUUGGUAUGAAAUUGCAUUCUCAGUAAAUUAUGGGAAUGCAAUAUCAUCUUGCCUUAGAACAUAUGAUAGAAACAAAACAUUUUAACCACAACACAGACUUAAGAGAUUCAAUAAACUGUUCCCUAGUAGGCUGGAAAUAUUGGCUAAGACUUUAUGUUAUCUUUGUCUCCUCUUGGCAGAAUAGGCUUGCUAGUUCCUCAAGUAAUAUAUGUUAAAGAUUAGGAAAAUUAUAUAGUUCUUGUUCUUAGGUCAAUUGUGAAGGUGAUCAGUUUAUUUUCAUGUGUGGAUUCUUUUUGUUCAUGGUUUUCUUUCAUGAAUCAUUAGGAAUACUCUAUGCUUGGACUCCUUGUCCCUUGUUGAGAUUGAGAAGUGGGUUUAAGGAAGUUUUGUUGGGAGCCGUCAUCAUUUUUAAACAUAUAGCAUAUAGUGGAUAAUAUAGAUGAAUAUUCAUACCUGUGGGAAAAUGAAAGUUUGCUAUUUUUAUGCUUUUAGUAUAAUGUAUAUUGGGACAAUUGUUUGCUAUUAUCUAUUUCUCAUACUCAACACAUAUUGCUUUAGUAAGGAUGGGAAAGAAUGUGAAAAGUUCAUCAAAAGCCCCAGCGACAUGGAAUAACCAUAAUAUAUCCAUAUUCUGUGAUUUGUGCAUCAAGGAGAUAUGCCUAAUUAUCUAUUCAACAAGCAAGUGAAGAUAGUCAUUGCUACAAUGACACUUCAUAAUUAUAUAAGGAGGCAUGCCCAACGUGAUAGACAUUUUGAUGCUUCAAAUGAUAUCUUAAGUGAAGAGAUAGGUGAGGAUGUUGAUGUACAACAAGAAGUUCAUAGUCUUAAUGACAAUGGAACACAAGAGAUGGAAGCAUUGAGAAAUAGCAUCGCUACAAGUUUCAUGAAUGCAUCUAAUUAGCUUCUUUUAUAUUGUAGUGAUCUAUUUUGGCAUGUUAAAAUUGAACAAUUUUUGUAUAUUUGUUAUGCUAACCCUCUCCAAAGCCCUCAAAACACAUUGUUAUUAUUAAUAUAACAAUAUUUAGAACUACUUUUGUUACAGUAUUAAUUUAUAAUUUAUGGUAAUAUAUGUGUGCUAAUUGUAGAUUACAAAUUUUGAAAAAUUAAAAAAUGUGCAAAUUAAAAAAGAAAACAAAUUUAUGUAGUGAAGUUUGUUUUUUUUUUAAGUAGAAAAAGAAUGAAGAAAAAAACAAACCGUUUCAUCAUCAUGUCCUUUUCGGUCAUUAUACAUACUUAAAGCACUUCUGAUAAAAAAUUACCAAACACUUUGACUAUUCACAGCAGUUUUUCAUAUACAGGUUACCAAACGCCUAGCUGCUUUUUUUCACAGCUGAUUAUUUUCGCAGCACAGCAAAAACAGUUUUUUUUUAAAAGCACAACAAUGCCAAACUAGCCCUUAGUAACAAACUACCUAAAUGUCGAUUAUAAGAUUUGAAUAUGAGAUUUAUGCAUGCAUGCAUGCACAUUGCCCAUUGAUCAGGUGCAACGGUGCGAUUGGAGUGUAGGGAGGGGGGGAACAUAAAAUCUAGCCAAGAGGCCAAAAGCAACCAGCUUGGACCGUACGUGUUUAAGUUGGACAAAUCUAAGGAGCCUGUGGCUGAUUGUCAAGUGACACUGCUACACAGGCCUGACCCUGAAUGCAAGAUUUCCCACGAAGUCGACCCUAACAACAAAUCGAAAACUGCACCGGUGGCCACCCGGAAGCUCAACCUAUUGGAAGGAGACAACGUCGAUGUCAUCGCACCAAGCCACCGCGUUGCCUACCCUCUUGGUUUGGUUGUUGAGAAAGCUCAUCCCGAGUGUGAGCAGUUCGCCAAAGCGCGCAAGCAUUUUUCAGAACUAAUUUAUGGAAUUGAAGAUGAAAUGUAGACGAAAAUCGUCUGAUAUUAAAUCAAUUUC